CGUUCUGGACAAAGAGUUAAAAGUGAGCAGUACCCAGAGAAAUGCACGCACCAUCAAGCACACUUUGCCUCCCCAGUUAAAAGCAGGAGAGUGAAACAAAAGCAAUGGAAGAAGCCAAGAGGAAAGCCCUGCCACUUGAAGCUUCGAACUUGCUGUAAAGCUACCAGCGGUGACAAGGAUUACUUGUUCUCUCUUUCCUCCUCAUCUUCCUGACAGCUGUUGGGGAACAUCAACAAGACUUUCAAGCACAUCUGGAGGGUCUCCAAACCAAAGAGGCCGUUGCUCCCUGCAGAAGCAUCUUCCCAGAGCCUCCCGGCUGAGCCUUCCCGUUCCCCUGCUCCUUCUUCUGCUGACCCCCCAAUCCACUGCAACAGCAUCACCGAAAGAGCUCCAACAGAGAGACUACGCAAAAGGUCACACUUGAACAUUUAUAAUGGCUUAGUCUGAAGGAUCGCAAAACUCCAGGGGAAGAAAAUCGGUCUGAAAUAGGCAUUGUUAUAGAAGACUCCAGGAGCACCUGCAGAUGUUCAGCCAAUCAGCCCAUUCAUUACCUGACCACUCUCAUGUAUGCCUAUGGAGAGAAACCUCUGCCUGCAGGAAAGGCACGUCUCUCCAUUUGGGCUCCUUCAUCUUCACUUGAUUAUCCUUCCCUCCUUCCAAACAAACUUCAUCUGAGACCAUGCAAACCGUGCCUUACAGGGGAGCAAUAAAUCCUCCCUUUGAUGCUGCUGCCACGCUGACCAGCGCCUCUCCACUGGGAGCAGCAGUUAGGCCCUGCCAGACCGAGGGAGUGAAAAGCAUCUGUAAAUCCUGGCUGCACGUCUAAACACCAACUCCCCUGCUCUGGAGCAUGAGCAGCUGUUGGCAACAAAAGCAAGUCAAUGUAUGCUUUACAGAAAUAUUCGUAGUGAAAAGAUGUUUUUAAAAGUCAGUGUUUUUUUUUUUU